GCGCCUGUAGAUCAACCGGACAGAGUGCCGGGCUACGAACCCGGAGGCUGGGCUCGAGGGCGCUGGUUCGAGUCCAGCCGGGCGCA
rnacentral:tRNA from 1 species